AGCAUGGGUGGUAAUCCCUCCUGCCAUUCCUUGCAGUGUUGGUAUCUCUAGAGCACCGUGCCCAUUUCCUUGUUGGCGUUUUAGUGUCCGGCUCUGUGAUGGCCGGGGAGCUCCGCUCGGGCUCCUGUAGCUGGCACCAGGCACCCACCGACAUGGGUGCUUGGGGCAGAACCCUGGUCCUUCACAUGCACAGUAAACUUUCUUAACAGACUUUUCUUGAGCAGAUCCCCCAGACCUACCCGCCAGGUUUAAGGUCACCAGCUCCUCCUCCUCAGCAAGGGCGCUCGAGGCCUUUCUCAUGCCUCCACAUGCAGGUACACAUAUAUUUUCAGCUAUUUUAUUUUGGUUCUUAUUUCUCUGUCUCUCUUCCAACCCUUAUUCCACCCCAAUCCCUUCCACACACCCUGACACACAAGGUAGAAGACAGAGGCAAAAGGGGGUGUAGAGCUCUUUACACUACUUCCUGUUGAUUAGGGUUGUCGGGUUCCUAGGGACAAGUCCAGUCUUUGUCAGAAUAUUCAGCAAUCCAGUAAUCCAGUAAUCCAGCAGUAGCAAACACAGCGCAGGAACCAACCAGGGCAGGAUCAGCAGCAGCGGGCAGCAGCGGGGGAAGAGCAGUGGCCCUGACCCUACGGGGCUCUCCCAUUUACACCUUCUCCAGAGUGCCCAGAAUUAAACUGUCUGCAGCUGACACAAAUUACACCCUGGCCAGAGCAUGAGACAGUCACAGUCAGCUUCUGUGGACAAGCUGAAGCAGCCCCAUACCCCACACCUGGGAUUAAAACAAAAACAUGUUUACAAAACACAACUGGGUUUUGUUCGGUUUCUGUUGUGUAUUUGUUUUUAAACAGGUUUUCUCUGUGGGUUUUGUUUUGCUUUUGUUUGUUUGUUUUGAGACAGAGUUUCUCUGUGUAGUGCUGGCUGUCCUAGAUUUGCUCUAUAGACCAGGCUCGCCUUGAACUCAAAGAGAUCCACCUGCCUCUGCACUCCUGAGUGCUGGGAUUUCAGGCGUGAGCCACCGUGCCUUUUCUGUCCUUAUUUUUUAUAGGUGACUUUCUUACCUCAUACCACACUUUCCCAUUGCCUCCCACCAAAAGGCCACAUGCCCAAACACCCUGCCACCAGAAUUGCUUCUCUUCCUGUGAAGAUAUCAUCUGUGAUCUGAUGUGCAAGGCAUCUCUACAGCCAGCCCCAAGGGACCUGACAAACCACAUAUCAGGCAUCUAUGAAGCCACCUAUGGACCACCUGGAAACACCUGUGCACAUUCUGGUUACUUUAUAAGAGAACUCGAAGCUCCUCCUCUCUCUCUUUUUUUGCUGACCUGCCCAGAGAAGGUCUCUGUUACCCCUUCUCCUCCUCCUUUCCUUCCGCCUUCCCUUAAUAAACCUCCCAUGUGGAACCAGU